AGAGACUUAGGAUAACACAUAGACCAAGGACCUUCAAAGUCCUCAGCGGAAGUGAAAAUCUUCCAGCCUCUG
rnacentral:tRNA from 1 species